rnacentral:rRNA from 1 species
UACAGAGGGUGCGAGCGUUAAUCGGAAUUACUGGGCGUAAAGCGCGCGUAGGCGGCUUGUUAAGUCGGAUGUGAAAUCCCCGGGCUCAACCUGGGAACUGCAUCCGAUACUGGCGAGCUGGAGUGCGAUAGAGGGGGGUAGAAUUCCUAGUGUAGCGGUGAAAUGCGUAGAUAUUAGGAGGAAUACCGGUGGCGAAGGCGGCCCCCUGGAUCGACACUGACGCUGAGGUGCGAAAGCGUGGGUAGCAAACAGG